rnacentral:rRNA from 1 species
UACGUAGGGGGCAAGCGUUGUCCGGAUUUAUUGGGCGUAAAGAGCGUGUAGGCGGCCAGGUAGGUCCGUUGUGAAAACUCGAGGCUCAACCUCGAGACGUCGACGGAAACCAUCUGGCUAGAGUCCGGAAGAGGAGAGUGGAAUUCCUGGUGUAGCGGUGAAAUGCGCAGAUAUCAGGAAGAACACCCGUGGCGAAGGCGGC